UACGUAGGGUGCGAGCGUUAAUCGGAAUUACUGGGCGUAAAGCGUGCGCAGGCGGUUCGUUAUGUCCGUUGUGAAAGCCCCGGGCUCAACCUGGGAAUGGCAAUGGAAACUGGCGAGCUAGAGUGUGGCAGAGGGGGGUGGAAUUCCGCGUGUAGCAGUGAAAUGCGUAGAGAUGCGGAGGAACACCGAUGGCGAAGGCAGCCCCCUGGGCUGACACUGACGCUCAGGCACGAAAGCGUGGGGAGCAAACAGG
rnacentral:rRNA from 1 species